rnacentral:rRNA from 1 species
GUCCACGCCGUAAACGAUGGAUGCUAGCCGUCGGCAAGUUUACUUGUCGGUGGCGCAGCUAACGCAAUAAGCAUCCCGCCUGGGGAGUACGAUCGCAAGAUUAAAACUCAAAGGAAUUGACGGGGGCCCCGCACAAGCGGUGGAGCAUGUGGUUCAAUUCGAAGCAACGCGAAGAACCUUACCAGGCCUUGACAUCCCGGUCGCGGGUUCCUGAAAGGGGACCUUUCAGUUCGGCUGGACCGGUGACAGGUGCUGCAUGGCUGUCGU